AGCAAGUUAUUGUUUUGUUUCAAGAAUUGAUUUGCUUUCUUUUUUUUUAAGAUUCGGUGGUAUUUGUCGAUGCACUGGUCUUCCUUGACCUCUGCGGUUGAGCUCGAGUUCAGGCCCUCCCUAGCUUAUGGCAGGAGCAGCUCGGCUUAGUGACGCAGCAUCAGUAGCUUAUGCCCAGGUGUCUCACCAAGUUUGGGCCAUAAAUGAACCCAUUUGCUGCUGGGAUUUACGCGUUUGGCAUCAAAGUCCCAGCUGUUGAAAAAAUUGAAUAUAGAUGAUCAUGAUGACCUGCUUGUUGACAACAUCUACAUGGCUAAUGGAGGUGAUGCCAUUCCUCGGCCUGAUCCGCACAACCAAAUGUCAAUAUUUAGUAUUGUUUUUACUGCAUAUCUAUUUUGUUUAAUUGAACCUGCUGUACAGUCAAUGCUUUAGCAAAUGAUUUACCACA